CCUACGGGUGGCUGCAGUGGGGAAUUUUGGACAAUGGGCGAAAGCCUGAUCCAGCAAUGCCGCGUGCAGGAAGAAGGCCUUCGGGUUGUAAACUGCUUUUGUACGGAACGAAACGGUCUGCUUUAAUACAGUGGGCUAAUGACGGUACCGUAAGAAUAAGCACCGGCUAACUACGUGCCAGCAGCCGCGGUAAUACGUAGGGUGCGAGCGUUAAUCGGAAUUACUGGGCGUAAAGCGUGCGCAGGCGGUUAUGUAAGACAGUUGUGAAAUCCCCGGGCUCAACCUGGGAAUUGCAUCUGUGACUGCAUAGCUAGAGUACGGUAGAGGGGGAUGGAAUUCCGCGUGUAGCAGUGAAAUGCGUAGAUAUGCGGAGGAACACCGAUGGCGAAGGCAAUCCCCUGGACCUGUACUGACGCUCAUGCACGAAAGCGUGGGGAGCAAACAGGAUUAGAUACCCUAGUAGUC
rnacentral:rRNA from 1 species